AUACGGGGGGUGCAAGCGUUGUCCGGAAUUACUGGGCGUAAAGGGCGUGUAGGCGGCCUGGUCAGUCAGAUGUGAAAGCCCACGGCUUAACCGUGGAACUGCAUUUGAAACUGCCAGGCUUGAGUGUGAGAUGGGGUAGUGGAAUUCCCAGUGUAGCGGUGAAAUGCGUAGAUAUUGGGAAGAACACCAGUGGCGAAGGCGGCUACCUGGCUCACAUCUGACGCUAAUGCGCGAAAGCGCGGGGAGCAAACAGGAUUAGAAACCCCAGUAGUCC
rnacentral:rRNA from 1 species